CGCGGUAAUACGGAGGAUGCGAGCGUUAUCCGGAUUUAUUGGGUUUAAAGGGUGCGUAGGCGGAUUGAUAAGUCAGUGGUGAAAUCCUGCAGCUUAACUGUAGCAUUGCCGUUGAUACUGUCAGUCUUGAGUAUGGUUAAGGUAGGCGGAAUGUGUAAUGUAGCGGUGAAAUGCUUAGAUAUUACACAGAACACCGAUUGCGAAGGCAGCUUACUGAACCAUAACUGACGCUGAGGCACGAAAGCGUGGGGAGCGAACAGGAUUAGAUACCCUGGUAGUCCACGCCGUAAACGAUGAUCACUCGCUGUUAGCGAUACACAGUUAGCGGCUAAGCAAAAGCAUUAAGUGAUCCACCUGGGGAGUACGGCCGCAAGGCUGAAACUCAAAGGAAUUGACGGGGGCCCGCACAAGCGGAGGAACAUGUGGUUUAAUUCGAUGAUACGCGAGGAACCUUACCUGGGCUUAAAUGUUGAGUGCAUGAGGUAGAAAUACUUCUUCCCUUCGGGGCUCUCAGCAAGGUGCUGCAUGGUUGUCGUCAGCUCGUGCCGUGAGGUGUCGGGUUAAGUCCCAUAACGAGCGCAACCCUUAUCGUUAGUUGCCAGCGGGUAAUGCCGGGAACUCUAGCGAAACUGCCGGUGUAAACCGAGAGGAAGGUGGGGAUGACGUCAAAUCAGCACGGCCCUUAUGUCCAGGGCCACACACGUGUUACAAUGGCCGGUACAGAGGGCAGCUACCUGGAGACAGGAUGCGAAUCUCCAAAGCCGGUCUCAGUUCGGAUCGGAGUCUGCAACUCGACUCCGUGAAGCUGGAUUCGCUAGUAAUCGCGCAUCAGCCAUGGCGCGGUGAAUACGUUCCCGGGCCUUGUACACACCGCCCGUCAAGCCAUGGAAGUUGGGGGUACCUGAAGUC
rnacentral:rRNA from 1 species